rnacentral:rRNA from 1 species
UGUGUGGCAUACGGCUCAGUAACACGUAGUCAACAUGCCCAGGGGACGUGGAUAACCUCGGGAAACUGAGGAUAAACCGCGAUAGGUCACUACUUCUGGAAUGGGUAAUGACCCAAACCUAUAUGGCCCCUGGAUUGGACUGCGGCCGAUCAGGCUGUUGGUGAGGUAAUGGCCCACCAAACCUGUAACCGGUACGGGCUCUGAGAGGAGGAGCCCGGAGAUGGGCACUGAGACAAGGGCCCAGGCCCUAUGGGGCGCAGCAGGCGCGAAACCUCUGCAAUAGGCGAAAGCUUGACAGGGUUACUCUGAGUGAUUUCCGUUAAGGAGAUCUUUUGGCACCUCUAAAAAUGGUGCAGAAUAAGGGGUGGGCAAGUCUGGUGUCAGCCGCCGCGGUAAUACCAGCACCCCGAGUGGUCGGGACGUUUAUUGGGCCUAAAGCAUCCGUAGCCGGUUCCACAAGUCUUCCGUUAAAUCCACCUGCUUAACAGAUGGGCUGCGGAAGAUACUAUGGAGCUAGGAGGCGGGAGAGGCAAGCGGUACUCGAUGGGUAGGGGUAAAAUCCGUUGAUCCAUUGAAGACCACCAGUGGCGAAGGCGGCUUGCCAGAACGCGCUCGACGGUGAGGGAUGAAAGCUGGGGGAGCAAACCGGAUUAGAUACCCGGGUAGUCCCAGCUGUAAACGAUGCAGACUCGGUGAUGAGUUGGCUUUAUGCCAACUCAGUGCCGCAGGGAAGCCGUUAAGUUUGCCGCCUGGGGAGUACGGUCGCAAGACUGAAACUUAAAGGAAUUGGCGGGGGAGCACCACAAGGGGUGAAGCCUGCGGUUCAAUUGGAGUCAACGCCGGG